GCACUGGUGGGGUAACGGUAGCCCAUAUGCUAACAAUUGUUACAAGUAUGAAAUGUAUAUGAGAUGAUUGAUCUAGGUCUCCAGGAGGUCUGACGGAAGUUCGAGUCCUCCCUAGUGCA